GACGAACGCUGGCGGCGUGCUUAACACAUGCAAGUCGAGGGCAUUUGGGUCGCAAGGCUCAGGUGACCGGCGAACGGGUGCGUAACACGUGAGCGACCUGCCGUCCCUGUGGGGGAUAGCCGGCCCAACGGCCGGGCAAUACCGCAUACGAUCGUUUGGGGGCAUCCCUGGGCGACGAAAGCUUGGCGCAAGUCAGGCGCAGGACGAGGGGCUCGCGGCCUAUCAGCUCGUGGCGGGGUAACGGCCCACCAAGGCGACGACGGGUAGCUGGUCUGAGAGGAUGGCCAGCCACAUUGGGACUGAGAGACGGCCCAGACUCCUACGGGAGGCAGCAGUGGGGAAUCUUGCGCAAUGACCGCAAGGCUGACGCAGCGACGCCGCGUGUGGGAGGACGCCCUCGGGU
rnacentral:rRNA from 1 species